AGCUUGUAACACGCUGCAGCUGGGACUAUCAGGAGGUUUGGAAACUGUGGUGUGCUGUGGUCAUUUCUCCAUGGUGAAGAACAGUCUUUGCAGGAGAAGUCUGUCUGGCUUUGAACAGCAGUAGGCAUGAGUGAAUAUAAAGUUCAGACAGAAGACACACUCCUCUUCACUGAUCCAAUUCCAAACUGCCUAACCGGUCUUUUACUCACAAGCAUGCAUAUUGAAAAGAAAGCACAAUGUAGAUGGGAAUGGCUGAAGUAAUCUACGCAUCAUAGUGAUGAGCUGAGUUAUUUUACAGCUGGAUCAGUUAAGAAAAAGUCAAUGGCAGUGCAGAUGGUGACGACAGCUCAUACAAGAACGCUGCUAGUUUUCGAACCAUUGCCUCGAAAUACUGAUUUCAAACUUCAGUGCUGUAAUGACAACAUGAAGGUUGAAGAAGCCAAAAUGAAACCUAUUUUCCAGUGCUGGAAUCCCCACUAUUGUUAG
rnacentral:lncRNA from 1 species